rnacentral:tRNA from 1 species
AAAGGGAGACCUAAUUCAGGUAAGAGACGAAAAAAAAGUAGUCGCUACCAAGAAUCAACCCCAAAAGGUCGGAGCGAGGCGAAAUUGGCUUUCAAACUAGGUUCUGGGUUCAAACAAGACCUGAAUCAGGAACAAGGGCUAUUAGCUCAGGUGGUUAGAGCGCACCCCUGAUAAGGGUGAGGUCCCUGGUUCGAGUCCAGGAUGGCCCACCUGCACAGGUGGCAAAAACAAGAGAAGCGAGGAAUCAGCACCUUAUCUUACUGACAUAGUAAGAGAGAAUGCUGGCUCUGAGUAAAGAGUCCAGAGGAACCUUGAAAACUGCAUAGAGCUAGGUGAAAAAGCCAAAAAAGAAGACCGCAAG